UCUGUUUGAAGUUAUAAAAAGUCUAACCUGCCCACUGAAGAAUUAAAGGGCCGCGGUAUUUUAACCGUGCAAAGGUAGCGUAAUCAUUAGGUUUUUAAUUGAGAUCUUGUAUGAAUGGUUGGACAAAGGAAAAACUGUCUUUAUAAUAAAAUUUAAAUUUUACUUUUAAGUGAGAAGGCUUAAAUGUCUUAGAGGGACGAUAAGACCCUAUAAAACUUUAUAUUAAAAUUAUAUUUAAUUAAAUUUGAAUAAUAAAAAUUUAAUAUUAAAAAUUUAUUAUGUUGGGGAGGCAAAAGCAAAAUUUUAAAAACUGCUUAAGAAAAAAACAAAUAUUAGUGAAAAUAAAAAUAAUAGAUCCUAAUUAAAGAUUUAAAGAUUAAGUUACUUUAGGGAUAACAGAGUAAUGUUUUUAGAGAGUUCGUAUCGAAAAGAAUGUUUGCUACCUCGAUGUUGAAUUAAGAAAUCUAUAUAAUGAAGUUGUUAUAUAAGAAGGUCUGUUCGACCUUUAAUUU
rnacentral:rRNA from 1 species